CACCUAUCAAAAAUAAUAACAUCUUUCACAGACUUUACAGAUUUUAACAACUUAUACCCAACCAAUAUUUUGCUAUAUUACAACAGUGAUCAAUGAGACUGUUACUGUAAGCUUCAAACUAAUGAUCCAAUGGAAGAUGAAUGCUGAGGUACUCAAAACUAGCAGCUUAAUUCUACAACACAUACAAAAAUCAUGUAGCAGAUGGUAGGAGCCAGAAUGGUUGCUGCCUGUUCCCAGAAUCCAAGCAGUUGAAUUCUGCUGUUUCAGGGACCAUAGUAGUAGGUGCUGUACUGUACAUGUCAUCUGCCCUUAAUGGUACAUAACUAACAUGAGUCUCGAUGGACAUUGGUAGGUUGCUUCCUUCACCUUGCUGCAACCCCAAUGUAAGUGAAACUCCAUUGGGUAGUACAUUUCCACUUCCAAAACUACCAAAUUCUGAGAAUCUAUCGUUGCUUUGAACAAACGCGUCCUGAAAAAGGGUGCAAUUAUCCAUAGCAGGCAGGGGUUCCUCUGUUUGAUUUUCCAUUCCAGAUUGACUUUGAGUUUCUGCAUUACUUGCUCCCUCCAUUUCUGCAUCAGCUUCAUGGUAAGAUUUUGACUCCAGGAUUUGGCCACUAUUGUACUGCUCAAAUUCUGAAG
rnacentral:misc_RNA from 1 species